rnacentral:lncRNA from 1 species
UUUUUAUGUGCUUAGCAAUGAGUGUUUAUUUUUUUUGCGUUUUCAAGAUUCAUUGCCUUGACUCUUUUUGUCGCCUCUUUUCGCUGUGUGUUCUGUGUCACAGGUGGCUCUCGCCGUUCGAACCCCCCACGUGACACGCAGUCCAAGCAGUACGCAACCAAGAGGCUCCCGAGGGGUCUGCCACCUCAGGUCUGCAACCCAAAAGGCAGUCCUUCAAGAAGGUCGGGCACAAGGAGAAGAGGUUCAAUGUCCGAACAAUGUCCCCCAAGGACUUUCUGCAGUUUCGCACUCAGAACCACUAUCUCAACGAGAGGGCUGUGAUCAAGGAUGUUGAGCAUGUCUGGGCAAGGGAUCAGUGCAGGAUCUACCAU